rnacentral:RNase_P_RNA from 1 species
AGAGUAGGGUAUGGGAUCGCGUGGCGUAUUGUCACGAGGAAAGUCCGGGCUUCACAGGGCAGGAUGCCGGAUAACAUCCGGUGGAGGCGACUCCAAGGCCAGUGCAACAGAGAAUUAACCGCUGACAGAUAAUGUCAGUAAGGGUGAAAAGGCAGUGUAAGAGACUACCGCUCUUGUGGUAACAUAAGAGGCUGAUGUAAACCCCAUCCGAAGCAAGACAAGAACGAGACAUAAGGCGGCCCGUCUGUCUCAGGUAUGUCGCUUGAACCUGUCGGCAACGACAGGUCUAGAUAGAUGAUCUCACAAGACAUAACCCGGCUUAUCGCCCUGCUCUUUUA